rnacentral:rRNA from 1 species
GUGAGGAAUAUUGCACAAUGGGCGAAAGCCUGAUGCAGCAACGCCGCGUGGGUGAUGAAGGCCUUCGGGUCGUAAAACCCUUUUCUGGGGGACGAGAGAGGACGGUACCCCAGGAAUAAGGUUCGGCUAACUACGUGCCAGCAGCCGCGGUAAAACGUAGGAACCGAGCGUUAUCCGGAUUUACUGGGCGUAAAGCGCCUGCAGGCGGUCUUGUAAGUUGGACGUGAAAUCUCCUGGCUCAACUGGGAGGGGCCGUUCAAUACUGCGAGACUUGAGGGCAAAAGAGGGAAGCGGAACUCCCGGUGUAGUGGUGAAAUGCGUAGAUAUCGGGAGGAACACCAGUGGCGAAGGCGGCUUCCUGGUUUGCACCUGACGCUAAGAGGCGAAAGCUAGGGUAGCGAACGGGAUUAGAUACCCUAGUAGUCC